GAAGGUAUGGCUCAGUGGUAGAGCAUGUGCUUAGCAUGCACAAGGUUCUGGGUUCAAUCCCCGGUACCUCCA
rnacentral:tRNA from 1 species